CGCCUCUUGCUAAACUUAUAAGAGGUCCAGCCUGCCCAGUGACUUUGUUCAACGGCCGCGGUAUCCUAACCGUGCGAAGGUAGCGUAAUCACUUGUUCUUUAAAUGAGGACUAGUAUGAAUGGCAUCACGAAGGUUAUACUGUCUCCUUUCUCUAAUCAGUGAAACUAAUCUUCCCGUGAAGAAGCGGGAAUAAAUAUAUAAGACGAGAAGACCCUAUGGAGCUUUAAACAAAUAUACAAUUGCCCACCCUAUCUUUAAUUCCAGAAGAAAAAAAUUUUAUACGGGCACCUUGAUAUAGAGUUUUAGGUUGGGGUGACCGCGGAGCAAAGAAUAACCUCCGCAAUGAAGGGGGAUUUCCCCUAAACCGAGGGCCACGACCCAAAGUAUCAACAAAUUGACACUAUUGACCCAAUACAGUUGAUCAAUGAACCAAGUUACCCUAGGGAUAACAGCGCAAUCCACUUCAAGAGCCCCUAUCGACAAGUGGGUUUACGACCUCGAUGUUGGAUCAGGGUAUCCUAGUGGUGCAGCCGCUACUAAUGGUUCGUUUGUUCAACGAUUAAAACCCU
rnacentral:rRNA from 1 species